GAUACUUUCAUGGCUAGAGGAGAGAGGAAAAGAAAGAUUGCUUUCUCUACGUUCCAUUUUCAAAAUCACUUUCUAAUUUUUCAGCAAGAGAAGAAAAAACUGAUUUCUAGCUGACUUAGGGACAGGGAUUUAUUUCCCUCACCACCCAGCCAUCCCUUGAAUAUUGGCUCUAAUCCCAGAGAAGAAAAAAGAACUGAAGCUCUACAUUCAGACGCCAAGGGAAGCUGUGGGCAAGUGACCAAAAUGUAUUAGAUCCUCAGCUAUGGGAACGUCCCAUUGAGGAAGAGUGGCUUAAGGUAGACUUUGACCUGGGAAGAGCUGCCUUUUCAAGCAGGGAUGGCUCCAGCGGCAGGUGCAUCAAGCAAUUCUGCCUGGUGAAUAUCAGAGGAAUGAACAUCACUGCCGUGCUGCCUGACACACUUGUGUUGUCCAAGCUAUGACACCCAGGGAAGAUGGAACACUGAGAUGCAAAAUCCAUCAAAAUGGCCACCAUUCUAGCAAUCUCAUGUGUAAGAAUCUGCCCCAAAGAAAUAAUCAGAGAUGUGCA
rnacentral:lncRNA from 1 species